rnacentral:rRNA from 1 species
UUCGACUGUUUACCAAAAACAUAGCUACUAGAAAAUAUUAAUAGCAGUGAAACCUGCUCCAUGAUUAAGGAUAAAUAUAUAAAAAUAUAAAUAAUAUUUAAUUAAAUAGCUGCGGUAACCGUGACCGUACUAAGGUAGCAUAAUAAAUCGUCUAUUAAUUGUAGAAUAGAAUGAAGGUUCAACGAAAAUUCAACUGUCUCAAAAAUAAAUUUGUGAAAAUUGAAUGUGUGUGAAUAUCCACACUUAAACAGCAAGACGAUAAGACCCUGCGAACUUUACCAAACAUUUAUACAAAAUCAACGAAAAUUUUUUAAACAUAAAGUUUCGUUGGGGCAACGACCUUACAAUAGUAACUAAGGUUAAAAUAAUCUAAUUAAAUACAGACAAAUAAAUCAAUAUUUAUUACAAAGAUAAAACCCGUUAUAAAAAUCUUUAACAAUAACGCAUAAAAAUAAAAGUUCCGCAGGGAUAACAGCGUAAUAUUAUUUCAAGAAAAUAUCUUAAAUAAAGAUUGCGACCUCGAUGUUGAAUUA